CCUACGGGAGGCAGCAGUGGGGAAUAUUGGACAAUGGGGGCAACCCUGAUCCAGCCAUGCCGCGUGUGUGAAGAAGGCCCUCGGGUUGUAAAGCACUUUCAGUGAGGAAGAACGCCUGGUGGUUAAUACCCAUCAGGAAAGACAUCACUCACAGAAGAAGCACCGGCUAACUCCGUGCCAGCAGCCGCGGUAAUACGGAGGGUGCGAGCGUUAAUCGGAAUUACUGGGCGUAAAGCGCGCGUAGGUGGCUUGAUAAGCCGGUUGUGAAAGCCCCGGGCUCAAACUGGGAACAGCAUCCGGAACUGUCAAGCUAGAGUGCAGGAGAGGAAGGUAGAAUUCCCGGUGUAGCGGUGAAAUGCGUAGAGAUCGGGAGGAAUACCAGUGGCGAAGGCGGCCUUCUGGACUGACACUGACACUGAGGUGCGAAAGCGUGGGUAGCAAACAGGAUUAGAUACCCUUGUAGUC
rnacentral:rRNA from 1 species